UCUCUUAACGGACUCCUCCCAUGUCAAAUUCGGUCUACCCUGCCCUCUCUUGACAUUCUCCGGACGCUUUAGCCGUCCGCUAUGCACUGGAGCUUAUACUUACAUGCAGAGGAUUUUUACAGCAUAUUGGCUACUAGUCCAAACUCCAAAGGCCAAUUGAGACCUUGAAAUGCCUUCUCUAAUUCCUCUUAAAUCUAGCAUCUGAGCCUUCUCUAAUUCCCCUUAGAUCCAGCAUAUGAGUCUUCUCUAAGCCUUUGAGUUGCCAACUGACAUAUGGGCGAGGAAUAUACACUUUUAUCAAAUGAAUGAAUGAAUCACUCUCAUUCUGGAGGAAACACAUCUGCCUCUGAUACUUAUCUUUCUGUAUUGUGGAUCCAUACAAUCUGAAUAUAUAUCUUCAGCUGGUAUCUUCACAUCCAUCUGUAGCAUUUGACAGUACCAUGUUGACGCAUUGCAAACAAAUGGUUAAAUACAUAACUAUGAUGGUGAAUUCUUGGUCUGAAUUUCUUGUAUAUGAAGAGCAUGAGAAGACCUUUAGUUCAGCAAGUCUAUGAGAAUCCUGAACUCUUGGUCACAAGCUCUCAUCUGCUCAUGUGCAUGACUGAUCAAGGCAAGUGUUGUCCACGGGACUGGAUACAUUCUUCUUGCCUAUUUGCUUUUCAUGUAUUUGACAUUUGGUCCUAGGUAUAAUGGCCACUGCAUUUCUGAAAUAUUAAAUUAACACCUUAUACAUCCAACGCGAAGUCAAUGCACAUCUAUGUUCUAAUUUUGCGCCAACAAAAUGGACCUCAUGACAAGCAGUGUGAGGAUUCUAUUGCCCUCUGUUUGUUUCCUGCGCCAACAAAAUCUGAAUAGAGUUUCUAUGUGCUGUGAAUGAACGCGGCGGCGUAUGAACCUUCAGGGUCCAGCAGGCAAAUGUAUAUUAUAAGAUUCAACUCUUAUCAUCUUUGGGUGCCAAGGUAAUGAUCUUAAAUUGUUUGGUUGCUCUGUAGAUACAGUGUUCAGUGAUCUGCAUCCUGCACUGUAAAUUCAUAUGUAAUGCAGUCCUAUGAACAUCCUGCAGACGAAACAAUCUUCUUAGUUCUUUCAUAUAUGAUGUGCUUACAUUUUUGUUUCAGAUGAACAUUGGAGAUGCUACUGCCCCAGACUGUAUGCUGGAUACAGACAGUAUUGCAGCUAAACAGUCGUUUGGAGUUGAAAGUUAACCUUAGAGCCGACACAAGGAAUCCUAAACGCAUUUGCCAGUGGAGAGGACAGUUUUUACCCUUCCCGGCGACCUCCUGACACUUGCCAAUUAACUAUGAAAGAUAAGCACGUGAGCCUAGGCACGGUGGUAGAGAAGGGUGUCUUCUGUUGUAACUCGAAUUCCGCAGUGAAGAUUAAGAUAACCAUUUUUCCGCGAGCUGUUCAAAAACCAGUGUGAGUGAGUAAUGAUGCAGAAUCAAAAGGACUCAUGACACAAAAUCAAAACGAGGCAAUCCUUCGUCUCUAAGUAUUCCACUGCAGGCAAUCCUUCGUCUGUAAGUAUAGUGCUCAAUGACUUGAAAUUUAUCCUGCACCAUAAAUUAUUAUGGUGCAAAUCAAACCUGUUUUGACCAUCUCAUGGAUGCUGACUUGCUGAGUUAAUGAAUUUCAGUUUCCUAUGAACCUGGAGAGAAAACAUGUUUGCUGGCCUGAGUAAAUCAUGUACGAUAUGCUUAGAAUUUUUUAGAUGAACAUUGGAUAAGCAAAACAUUGGUAGUCCUUCAGCUGAUUUUCUAUUUGAAAAUUCUUAUUAUGCAAAAAUAUAUGUACCUGUAGUACAGGGGAUUUUUACAACAUAUUUGAUGUUAGUCCAAACUCUGGAGGCCAACUGAGAAACAUCCUCAUCUUUUCGGGCAGUUAAAAAUGCCUUCUCUAAUUUUCCUUUAAAUCUAUUGUAUUUCUCUAAGCUUUUCAUUCGCAAACUGAGUAACAGACAUAUGGACUGAUGAAUAUGCACUUUUAUCAAAUGAAUGAAUGAUGAACGACUGCCAUUUUGGAGGAAACUUAUCUUUCUGCAUUGUGGAUUCAUGCAAUCUGAAUAAAGUAUCUGAAUGCAUGUCUUAAUCUGGUAUCUUGACAUCCAUCUGUAGCAUUUGACACUACCAUGUUGGCACAUUGCAAACACGUGGUUAAAUACAUGACUAUAGUGGUGAAUUUCUUGGACUGUAUUUCUUGUAUAUGAUGAGCAUGAGUUGAACUCUAGUUCAGCAAGAAUACGAAAUCUUGAGCUCUUGACCCUAAGCUCUGAUUUGCUCCUCUUCUUACCUAUUUGCUUUUCAGGUAAUGGGCAUUUUGUCCUGGGUGUAAAGUUCACCACAUUUCUGAAACACACAACUGGCACCUUAUAUAUGCGACGCAGAGUCAAUGUGCAUCCAGGUUCUAAUUUUGCGCCAACAAAAUGGACUUCACAGCAAGCAAUGAUAAACGGGCACGGCACAGAAAAGCACCGUCCUCUUGCGCCUCUCCGACAUGUACCACGGCGGUGGUAGAGAAGAGAAGGGUGUCUUCCGCGAGCUGUUCAAGAACCACAGUGGGAGUAAUGAUGCAGAGUCAGAAUGACUCGUGACACGAGUUGAACUCCAGCCGUUCAGCAAGACUGAAAACCUUGAGCCCAUGCCCACAAGACCGCAUUUGUUCGUUCAUUUGCAUUUUUGAUUGAACUAAUUGUUGCCCACUGAAUCUGACUAAUAAAUGAGCAAUGCUAUACACACGACGAAAUAGCAGCCGAUGUGCGCACGAUCCCGUGUGGCAGCAUCAGCAGCGCACGUACAUGCAGGAGGCAGUUGGUUUUCCUGUUAGCUGAUGCAUGCGCACCGUGUAUCGUUCGCAGAUAGUCCAAUCUUGUCGUGUGUGAAGUCAUUUCGCUAA